rnacentral:rRNA from 1 species
GACGAACGCUGGCGGCGUGCCUAAUACAUGCAAGUAGGACGCAGUUGCGAACGGGUGAGUAACGCGUAGGUAACUGCCUCUUAGAGGGGGAUAACUAUUGGCAACGAUAGCUAAUACCGCAUACUAGUAGAUGGACCUGCGUUGCAGUAGCUAGUAGAUAGGGUAAUGGCCUACCUUGACAACGAUACAUAGCCGACCUGAGAGUUUGUUAGGCCCCCGCGGGACUGGGACCCGGCCCAGACUCCGACGGGAGGCAGCAGUAGGGAAUCUUCGGAAAUGGGGGGAACCCUGACCGAGCAACGCCGGGUGGGUGAAGAAGGUUUUCGGAUCGUAAAGCACUGUUGUUAAGGACUCGGUACUUAACCAGAAAGGGACGGCUAACUACGUGCCAGCAGCCGCGGUAAUAC